rnacentral:rRNA from 1 species
UAUAAAGUGGCGAACGGCUGAGUAACACGUGGGCAACCUGCCCUUUGCACUGGGAUAGCCUCGGGAAACCGAGGUUAAUACCGGAUACUCCAUAUUUGUCGCAUGGCGAAUAUGGGAAAGCUCCGGCGGCAAAGGAUGGGCCCGCGGCCUGUUAGCUAGUUGGUGGGGUAGUGGCCUACCAAGGCAAUGAUGGGUAGCCGGGUUGAGAGACCGACCGGCCAGAUUGGGACUGAGACACGGCCCAGACUCCUACGGGAGGCAGCAGGG